CCCCAACGAAGGGCUUUCUAUCUGAGAGGAUAGCAUCAUGGCGAAGACCGCAAAGCCGGACAUCCGUCCGCACAAUACCCAUUUCUCUUCUGGCCCCUGCUCGAAGCGCCCCGGUUGGUCGCUCGAAGCCCUUUCCGACGCGGCCCUUGGCCGUUCGCACCGUGCGAAGGUCGGCAAGGCCAAGCUCAAGCAGGCGAUCGACCUUACCC
rnacentral:sRNA from 2 species